UACGAAGGGGGCUAGCGUUGCUCGGAAUGACUGGGCGUAAAGGGCGCGUAGGCGGCUCAUUCAGUCAGGCGUGAAAUUCCUGGGCUCAACCUGGGGACUGCGCUUGAGACGUGUGGGCUUGAGUGGGGAAGAGGGUCGUGGAAUUCCCAGUGUAGAGGUGAAAUUCGUAGAUAUUGGGAGGAACACCGGUGGCGAAGGCGGCGACCUGGUCCGAUACUGACGCUGAGGCGCGAAAGCGUGGGGAGCAAACAGG
rnacentral:rRNA from 1 species